AUCUACUGUUCAGGCACGAGCUCA
rnacentral:piRNA from 1 species